CUACUCCCCUGUUGCGCCUUUGCCCUCCCGAACGACGUCCGGGCCCGCGGUCCGAACCAGGUUUGCUGGACGGGGGACGUAUUCCGGCCCGCAGCUAACACCGGACCGAAUUCUGGGAAGGAAACCGACCGGGUCGGACGAAAGGCCGGCUCCUUCGUCGGUCGUUACGUUAACUGGACCGUCUAGGAGGCCUAACGGAAAGCGGGUAGGGGACGGACCGAAACGAGGUAAGUUAAGAACCUUACCCCGUUAGGGUUACGUACCCACCGGUAACCCGGUAAAACGUAGUAGGAGGUGACGUUAGGGUUGGUUGGACUUUCCCGGUUACCGGGUAUUACGAGUCGCCGACAGACGUACGCUAAUAGCACUCCGCGGUGGGAGUACGCCAGUAGGUAGAACUAGAAAGUAUGGACGGGGCCCGCACAAGCGGUGGAGCAUGUGGUUUAAUUCGAAGCAACGCGAAGAACCUUACCAGGUCUUGACAUCCCGAUGCUAUUUCUAGAGAUAGAAAGUUACUUCGGUACAUCGGUGACAGGUG
rnacentral:rRNA from 1 species